UCACUGGAACACACAUCACCGGAACACACAUCACCGGAACACACAUCACCUAGAGCACUCAGGAAAUGCUAACUGGAAACAAGACGAAGCUGCAAGAAUCAGCAGGGGAGAAGGACUAGGAAGGAGAAAAUCAACCCUGUGGGGACAGGUCCUUGGUUGAUUUGGUGGCCUUCCAAACUGCCAUAAAGAACUGCUGCCAGAGAUGAUAAAACAAAUCUGAGGAGAGAAAAAGGUCACAAGGUUGGAACGAAGAGUUUGAAAGAAUUAUAGGAUAAAAUUCGCUGAAGUGGUCUGGUCCCACUCAGAUGAACUCCAAUAAACCCCAAUGCCCAGGACCAAUUGAUACAGAAAUAGGCAGAGCCUGAAGUCAGGGCAGGUGGCCUGGCUUCCUCCCCCCCCACUCAAUGCCCCAGUCCCCUACCAGCAUCCCUGUGAGUGGGCGUGUAGCCACCGAUCCAGGCCUUCGAGAAGGAACCCAGCAGCAUCUCACUGUGUGAAUGGACGAGAGGAGACCUGCCUCGACUUCGGGAAAGCUAAGAGAGGCGCAGAUAGACACAAGGCACUGCAACUUUGUGUCGCUUGGAUGUGGCAGGGAUUUUAACAGAAGAGUACAGAAGGAACCAGGGUGAGAAGGUGCUGGGGGAGAGGUUUGCAGCUGGCCCAGCCCGAGGGAAGCCACCAUCACCACUCAUGCCACUCCGCAAGCCACUUUCCAUGAUUUAAAACAAGAUAUAGCCAAAAGCUCCCCUUAAGUCCCCACCAGAAGUCAUAGAAAUGUUAAGAAGAGUGAUGAGUCAGAGAUACCUUUAUCUGAUAACCUACAAUGUCCUUCCUUCAAUGAAAUGCGUCUCCAAACAUAAAAGGUUGGAUAACAAAUCCAUGUGGACUCUUCCAUUUGAAAGACCUCAGGGGAAGAACCCCAGAUCCUGCCUGACAGCAUGCAUUAGCGUCGCCAUACAUCUCCAAAAUUGAGACUUUAGCUAAAUUCUUCCCACACAGGAUAGAAUUGCUCAGUCACCACUCUGAAAAUGGAAUCCAGCAAUGAGUGUCCAACUAUGGCUGAAAGAUACACCCUGAGAAUUAAAUGAUUUUAACGAACCCAUUGAGGUUUAUAAA